CUGGCAAAAGCUGACCCGACCUGCCAACCUGAUCUGAAACCGACCCGAAAUUAGCGGUUUUGGGUUUAGAUUUUUGACCCAAUUAAUUAAAUGGGUCAACCCGACCUGAUCUGUUUAUUAAAUGGGUUAGGUUCAGGUUGAAUUUUUAAACCCGAAAAAAACCUGUUUAACCCAUUUAUUAAAUGGGUCAUUCAGGUUAGGUCGACCCAUAUUUAACCCAUUUAUUUACCCAUUGAAAAUUUUAAAAAAAGUCAUAAAGAAAUAAUGAAUAAAGAGUGCAGCGCCAUUGUGAUUUACCAUUUACUGGUAUAUGAGUCAUAUACUCAUUUGACCCGUGGAAAACCCUAAAUUCCUCUCCUUCCCUCUUCCUCAAUUCCUCUUCUCUGUGGUGCCAUUUAACCCAUAUUUGCGGCGCCUUCUUCCUCAAUUCCUCUCCACUUUCCAGUCUCCUGCUUCUCUGUGCGACUUCGGAGUGCGCCUUCUCCUUCCCUCUUCUCUAUGGCGGCACCAAGUUCAAUCUAACUGAUCUUCAAUUUAAUCUACCUGAUCUUUUAGCACUUUGCCGGAACUGGAGCUUGACUGUGAAUGGUAUACAUUUGAUCCAAAAUACCAAGCCCCCUCUACCUCAUCUUCAUCGUUUGAAGCCAUUACAAGGCUAAUGAUGCAAAUGAGGUUGCUGGACAGUUGUUUUUGGUACUAUGAGGCUGCUGUUUGGGUUAAUAUAGUGGCUGGAUAAUAAUAUGGUGGCUGUUUGGGUUGCUGGAAAGUAAUCCAUGUACUGUGAGGCUGCUGUUUUGAUUUUUAUGCUUCAAUCAGCAGAUCAGCAGCUUAAAUAAGAUGAUUAGGAAUUUGUAAGGUCAUUUUUUUUGGAGAUUGUACUUGUAAUUAUUCAUUUUAGUAAUCCAUGUAUUUCUAAUUUGUCCAAUGCAAUUCAGACAGUAAUUCAUUUGGAGAUUGUACAAUGAUCAUUUCAGUUUUGUGAUUACAUUUCCCUCCUUUUUUUUUAGAAACAAAAAUGUAAACUUUCCCAAUUUGAAAAGUGGUUACUUUCCCUCCAUGUAAUUUCUCUCUCUACAAUAAAAUCAGAUUUUUUUUGAUUAUUUAAUUAUAU